AUUCUGCAAAGCUGAGACAUAUGAUAGCGAAAGAACUGGGUUUUAUGACAAGCAGGCUCGCCCAAGAAAACAGAAAUGCUGGUAUUGGGCCAAAGGCCUCCAUAAGACUCUCCACCUGUAGUUGUUAGAACCUGAACCUUGAAGAGAACCUUGAAGAUUGUUUGGCAGCUGAAGAGACAAUAAUUCAGAUUUACCAGCCAGUUAGAGAGCAACACAGAAACCAGAAUAUGCAGAAGCAACAGCAGCUUAAGUACAGAGGUUAUAAAAGGUAAUCAUUAAACCUGUUCUCAGACAAGAAGCUUUGAGAUGGGAACCACAGGUAAACCAAUAGUCCAAUUAGUUUAUCUUUAAAACAAAAAGGUUUUUUUUCCAUUUGUUAAGAAUGUUUGUCCAGUACCUAAGCGUUUUAUUAUGUAGUGAGAGGAAAUCAUAAUUUAGGUAGAUUUUAAUUUCAUGUCAUGAUAUUUCUGCUUUAGAAACUGUGGAAGAUAAACUUGAAGUAAUUGUAGUGUGGAUGUGUUUAAAAGCAUCUGUCCAGAUGUUAAGUGCAUCCCGUACAAACAGCUUGUUUCAUCUUGAGGAAAUGGAAAAGUGUGAGCAGAAAUCUCUCAUUUGUUUUUCAUUAACCUGAAGACAGCUGAGCAGGCACCUUGUGUUCCUUUCAUCUGCAUUUCAAGUUUUCAUUUUUGUAGAUGUUUAAAAAUCUUGCUGUAGGGGUAGAAAACCUGUCUCAAUUUCUGUACACCUAUAUAUCCAGGAAAACAUUGCUAAUACUGUCUGCUGAAACAAGGUAGCUUCAUUCGUGGUAGUCAUCCUGAAACUACUAGCAAAAAAACCUGAGGAAUUACAUUCUACAGCAAUGGGGGAAGACUCUUUCCCUCUCAACUGUAUAUGUAUGAAGAGAUCAAGGGGUUCAAAUUUCAAGGGACUUCAGAAUGAAGCACUCUGUGGGCUAGUCCUGUCAGUGUAGUUUGAACCUUUUCAAAUACUGUUUACUAAUCAUAUCAUAAGAAGUAAUUUUCAACUUGAAUUCAGGAAACAGCAAGAAAACAGCAUAUACAUUUAGCUUUUAUUACCAUUAUCACUAAUAAUAAAGGUUAAUGUUUGUUGGGGCUGGUAUUUAUUGCUUGCAGUACUGCACGUAUUCUUUUCUGGACUGGCAGUUCCUAAAUGGAUGGUAAUGACUGUUCUAACUUGGAGGUUUUACUUAUAGCUUAGUGGUAUCUCAGAAUAGAUACUUUCCAUUCUUACCUUGCUGCCUAACAGGUUACUUCAUUUUUAUCAGAGGAAUAGUGUGUUUACUUGCACUUGCUCUUCUUUGACUCCUGCUGUUAACAGAUAUGCUCUAAGAAGUUAUCUCACUUCUGUUGAUCUUAAGUGCAUUUCGUUUUUCUCACGAGAAAUUCCAGAAAAGGAAGAGUCGCAGUCACUUCAAGCACGAGGUAGCAGUUAUCAGGAUUCCAAGUCUGACCCAGCUUUAACUAUCAUCUUUGUGAGAGAACAUUCUGGCAGUACCUCUUCCCAGUGCCCAGGGGUUGCAAAGACCUGAUUUCCAUACAGUUUCAAGUGAAUUAAUUAGGUAAGGAAAACAAUGUUAAAGAAUGUGUGCGUGCUUUGGAAGAGUGGACUCCAUACGAUCAUUUACAAGUUAAUAAGGCCAGGUACCCAUUCCUGGUAGUGAUGGACUGUGUAAGUAACUUUUCUAACUGCCACAGCUGAUGCUAUGGUGGUGCCACAGCAAUGACAAUCGCAGUAUUGCUUCAGAAGUGAGAGAUGGAGACGACUACUAGCUUUCGGCCAAGAGGAAUAUUCCUUUUGCAAGAUAAACUUCUUUGUCAUAUCUUUCAAAUGCUAAUACUGGUUUCUGCUACACAGUGUUUUUUAAUUGCGUGUUUAAUAGUUGUAAAAUGAAAGCAGUAAGGAAGCUAGUCACAUCCGACAGUUGAAAUAGAGUGUAAUAUGAUGUUGUACAGUCAUCAUGUGAAGUUCCUGGUUGCCAUUUCUCAGAACUGCUGAUCCUGCAUUCUUCUACUAUUAUUCCACACCACUGUGAGAUACAUUUCUCUCUUAGCUCAUCUGCCUGCCAGUGCUUUAUUUAUAAUUGGUUGGUUUUAUGCUCCUUUCCUAAAUUAAGUUUCAGAAACACUGUAUUUUAUCACUCACUUGACUAGAAUGUCAUGUCAAUUAUGUUGCAGUGUAUGCUUCUCAGCAGUGGUGCCUAACUCCAUGGUUACUGUGGUGUAAAAAUGUUCUUAAAGUCCAUUGUUAUGGGAAUUAAUGAAAAAUGAAGAGGAAUGUUUUCUAACAGCUUCAGAAGGAUGGAUCUUGUGUUUCUAUGAUAGCAUGUAUUUGUAAAGAAACAAAAGCUUUCAAUUCUCCACAUGGUAACCUAAAUCUUACCUAACCCAUCUUUCUGAUUUCAAAUGGAACCAAAGUAUUCUGUUACUUCUUUUAGUGACCAGGGUUGAAUCAAGGCUUCUGCUGGCUAAAUGCCUGUAUUCUGUGACAGUGUAUGAAAAAAAGUAAUGUUCCACAUACUGAAAGCAUGUGAAAUAAAAAGACCUUGUACUGGAAUAGUAAA